UACGUAGGGUGCAAGCGUUGUCCGGAAUUAUUGGGCGUAAAGAGCUCGUAGGCGGUUUGUCGCGUCUGCUGUGAAAACUCAGGGCUUAACCCUGAGCCUGCAGUGGGUACGGGCAGACUAGAGUGUGGUAGGGGAGACUGGAAUUCCUGGUGUAGCGGUGGAAUGCGCAGAUAUCAGGAGGAACACCGAUGGCGAAGGCAGGUCUCUGGGCCAUUACUGACACUGGAGAAGCGGAAAGCAUGGGGAGCGAACAGG
rnacentral:rRNA from 1 species